rnacentral:lncRNA from 1 species
AGGAUGCGACGUCAACGGGAGCGCAGGGCCAAGAUACCCUUUAUAUCAAACCGUCUAUCCUGGAGCAGAAAAAUCCUGUCUUCAUUGCUAUAGCUACAGAUUCAGAAAUGAGCAUGUAACAAAUUCAGGCCAAAGAGAGGCAAUGGAAAUCAGAGAAACACUGUUCCUGAAAGCUUCUGUCACUCAAGAAUCCAUGAAACAUUCAUGAACUUCACAUCAGGUGCUAUUGUGGAGGUGCAUACCCAACAGUUUGAUAAUGUAGAGGAAGUGAUAGCUUUGUCUCGUGGAAUCUGGGUCGACCUCACAGAGGAGCUGUUAUUUGUUCUGGAUAUUGAACAGUGACAAGGAUUCAGUGGGAGAGAAAGAGGCGAGGAUUUUAAUGCAACUUGUUACACAAGAUGAACCCAAACAUAUUUGACUUUUUAUUUUCAGAAAAGCUUAAUACAUAGUUUUGAAUAUGGAUUGUCCCACAGGAUAAAUGCAUGAAAAAAGUUGGAAAAGAGAAAUUGAAUUACAUCCUAAUUGUAGUGUUUUCUCAGGCAGAUCAAUUUUAGAAAGAGAACAUUGACUUGGAAAACUGAAGAGUAAUUAUUCUAAAACGGUUGUAACAGUUUACUCCUUUUAUGUUUGCAAACUUCCAGGAUUAGUGAGUUGCAUAAAGUCACAUAAUUUAUUGCGUUGGUGCAAAAGUAAUUGUGGUUUUUGCCAUUAACAAAACCGCAAUUACUUUUGCAUCAGCCUAAUAUAAGUGAAUAAAUUAAUAUUAGAACACAGGUCUAAUUAAAAGGUUCUGCUGUGUUGUGUCCUGUGAUAACACAGAAAACAAACAAAUGGAUAAUUACAGAAAAAUUUUGGAUAUAAAAUUAGCAGGUAAUUUUCUCCCUCCUUUCCUUCCAUCUUUCCAUCCUUCUUUGCUUCCUUUGCUUUCUUCUUUUCCUUUGUUUUUUGUUUCUCUCUCUCUCUUUUUUUUUUUUUUUUUUUUUUUUUGCAAUUUGGAGAAGGAAGUACUUUAAAAGAAAAGUUAAAAGGCAGACAUAGAUAGCAUGAAGCCUAAUUGCAAGAUCUUUUUCAAACAUAUUAGUUUUAGGAAAUAGCACCUGAAUUUAAGUCCCUUAAAAUUGUCUAUGUCUUCACGUCCAAGUCUCUAUAUUUGCAGGGCUGUGUACAAUCUAGACUGAACAUGCUUGACCUAAAAACAGAAGUAAUACCUGGGGCAAAGCACGAUGUGCACCACAGUCUUCUCUCUUUAGUGUGUUAAGAUAAAGUUGAUUCCCAGAGUAGCCUGCCAUCACUAACUCUGAGGGAUGGUGGGCUAAUUUUGAUAGAAGGAGCAGAGGUGGUAGUUAGGAGGAAGGUGACUCAUCAUCAUUGUAUCAGCAGGCAUUGAUGACUGGAAAUAUCAGGGGGCACAGCCUGAAAGAGAAUGGCUUAAUUGGAAUUGAUAGUGGGAACUUGGAAAUCAAUACAUAUGCACUGAACAGAAAAUGGUAUGCUAUAAUCUACUAUACACUGUAUGUGAAACCCAAGCUCCAAAUUUUUCGGCCCAUGCAAUGUCCAGUAAAAUUUCUCUUAGUUACAUUAUAAUUGCAAUGUACAUGUAUUUGAGGAAAAAAAAAGUGAAAGAAAAAGUAACUAAAGAAAAGUGGAAAUGCAAAACUUUGUUUUUAUUAAUGUUAAAAUUUAUUUUGAUCAACUUGCUAUUCUUAAAAUUGACCAAUCUUCUUCCCUUCCUUGCCUCUUCCAUGGUUUAUAGGAUUAUUUUUCAGGGCUGAUCAGUUGGUGUUACAUGUGACUACUAUGCUUAAUGCUAUCUGGCUUCUAACUUUAAGCACUGAAAAAAAGUCCUUCGUAUUUCUCAGUGUGUGAUUGAACUGAGAUGACCAUCCUAAGCCUCCUCAUUACAUAAAUCCUUACCUUCUCCAGAAGCAACGAAUGGUGUUGAGAAUAGCAUAUGUUACUACUCAGCCAUAUUCCAUAGCCUUUUCUCCAAGAUAUUUUUCCAAAGUUGCCCCUUUUCUGAAUCCCUUGCAAGCAAACAAACAACAAAACAAUGGGUAAUAAAAUAAUUGUUUAACUUUCAUUUAUAUGCUCUGAGAUUGAUGUGAUUUUGAUAAAUAACUAUAUUAAAAGACAAAUGGGAGUGGUGAUUUUGUGAAAAGCCCAUGCCUCUGCCCAUGGAAUAUGUGGCUUGGCCUGGAGCUCUUAUUUUACUUAUAUAUUUCUAAGCAGAAUUAUUCAAGAAUGUCUCUUAUUACAGGUCUUGAAACUUGGACAGCCAACAGAAAGGAAGCUAAUAAAUAAAUUUGUCAGAACACGAUUCUCAGUUUCACUUAUUUUGAAUUAAAGGUAACCUGGAAAAUGGAUUAGGAAAACAGCCUAUAAUCAGAGGAGUGACCCCAGUGAGACCCUGUCAUUAAAACUUUAGUGUUGAGCCUGCAAACCUCUGUUCCUCUGAUUAGGCAAUUUACUCCAUUUCCACCUUUCUGUCUGCCAAAACAUUUAGUGGCAAAACAUUUUCUAAUUCUCUAGACUCAUAAAAUGUUGUUUUGAAAAAAAGUAAAACAGAAUGGAUUACCUUUUUAAGCUGUCUAUCAUAAUGUAAUCAGAAAACAUGAGGGAUUAAUAGAUAAUAUUGUAAAGAGGCAAAGGCAGCAGAUGUUAUUUAGAUGAGCAGAAGGUCACAGACCUCUGUUGAGGAUUGAAAGCUUGAGGUACGUGCCUUUGUUCCUCAGUGUGUGUGGAUCAGAGUGAUUACUGAUAUCAGUUAGCAACAUGGUGGAGGGGACAAACUGGGGCUGCAUUUUCACUAUGUUUAUUAUUGCUCAAGGUCAAAAAGUGACUGUGUAGUGCCUCAGUUUUUACAUCUUUGUGUUAUCAAUAUUUUUUUCUAUUACCUUACAAGUUUAUUUUGAUGCUGUAAUGAUGAGACAGUGUUUUGAAAAGUUCUAAAUAAAUAAAAGGGUAUUCUCUAACUUUUAA